UACAUGGGGUGCAAACGUUGCUCGGAAUUACUGGGCGUAAAGGGUGUGUAGGCGGUUCUCUAAGUUUGGUGUGAAAUCUCCCGGCUCAACCGGGAGGGUGCGCCGAAAACUGGAGGGCUAGAGUGCGGGAAGGGAGAGUAGAAUUCCUGGUGUAGCGGUGAAAUGCGUAGAUAUCAGGAGGAAUACCGGUGGUGUAGACGGCUCUCUGGACCGCGACUGACGCUGAGACACGAAAGCAUGGGUAGCAAACAGG
rnacentral:rRNA from 1 species